ensembl:lncRNA
CUCAAGAUGAGAUGGUCCUGGAUUGGGAGGGGGGGUGCCCAGAUCCAAUGAUGGGUGUCCUCAUGGGAACUGGGGAUGACGCGGAGAUACAGAGGGAGCCAAGGUGGGGAUGGCGGCAGAGACGGGAGCCGUGGGUCUGCAUGCCCAGGAAUGCCUAGGGUCGCCGGCCAGCCCCGGAAGCUGGACGAGGCAGGGACAGGUGUAAGACCUCCGGGAGCCCGGCCAGCUCCCAGCGGUUCCGGACUUCUGCUCACAGCUGGGAGAGAACCGAUUCCUGGUGUUUCUGAGCCGCUCGAGAAGGGAACAGCAACCCACUCCAGCAUUCUGGCCUGGAAGAUCCCAUGGACUGUAUAUCCAUGAGGCCACAAAGAGUUGGACACAACUGAAUGGCUUUUCACUUCACUGGCUGAUGCUACAGCUCUGCUCCUUCUUUGCCAGCCCACACCAGCCUGAGACCUUCUUCCUACAUUCUAGGAAGCCCAGCCAGGAUCCUGACCCAACACAGGACUGACAGGAUUGAUUUUGCCAUCUGGUAAACCUGAAAACAAAUAAAAAAACUCCUGCCCCUUCUACUUUGAGGAGAGUGUUUGACAUCCCUCCUUCUGUCCCCAACAAAUUCCAAGGGAAUCAGAGUCAGCACACAAAAGUCCUCUUUCAUCAAAACUGAAGCAUGAGCAAAAUUCAAGUAACUUCCUCCAGUUUCACAGGGAGUGGUGAGCUGGGAGCCCAGAAUCCUGCAUCCUCACCUGUGAGCGAGGGAGGGGAUACAGCUUCGUCCAUCUCUGGGCUAGGAGGGAGCCUGGGGUCCAUCGGAGCCAUUGCCUCCCCCCGCCUCACCGUUUAUCACAGCUCUGGCCAGCAAGGGAGGAAACCACCAGGUCUCCAACGCUCUGAAAUCACAGCACGCCUGCAGCUGCUUACCCAGCCCUGGAAUGGGCACUGCAGAAAGAAAAAGUCUCUCGACUAAAUUCUCAAAGCCUGCUUCUAGGAGCAUAAAUGUUCAGUAAACAUUAAUAUUCCAAAAAUGCACCUCAACAUAUGUUAAGAAGGAUGC